UGGGGAAUAUUGCACAAUGGGCGCAAGCCUGAUGCAGCGACGCCGCNUGAGGGAUGAAGGCCUUCGGGUUGUAAACCUCUUUCGUCAGGGAACAAGGCACCGCUUUUUUGGUGGUGUUGAGGGUACCUGGAUAAGAAGCGCCGGCUAACUACGUGCCAGCAGCCGCGGUAAUACGUAGGGCGCAAGCGUUGUCCGGAAUUAUUGGGCGUAAAGAGCUCGUAGGCGGCUGGUCGCGUCUGUCGUGAAAACUUCCGGCUCAACCGGGGGCUUGCGGUGGGUACGGGCCGGCUAGAGUGCGGUAGGGGUAACUGGAACUCCUGGUGUAGCGGUGGAAUGCGCAGAUAUCAGGAAGAACACCGAUGGCGAAGGCAGGUUACUGGGCCGUUACUGACGCUGAGGAGCGAAAGCGUGGGGAGCGAACAGGAUUAGAUACCCUGGUAGUCCACGCCGUAAACGAUGAGUGCUAGGUGUUGGAUCCUUUCCGGGAUUCAGUGCCGCAGCUAACGCAUUAAGCACUCCGCCUGGGGAGUACGACCGCAAGGUUG
rnacentral:rRNA from 1 species